UACGUAGGGACCGAGCGUUGUCCGGAAUCAUUGGGCGUAAAGAGCGUGUAGGCGGCCUUUUAAGUCCUGCGUGAAAUCCUGCGGCUCAACCGCAGACGGUCGUGGGAAACUGGAAGGCUAGAGUGCGGGAGAGGAGAGUGGAAUUCCCGGUGUAGCGGUGAAAUGCGCAGAUAUCGGGAAGAACACCCGUGGCGAAGGCGGCUCACUGGACCGGUACUGACGCUGAUGCGCGAAAGCGUGGGGAGCAAACGGG
rnacentral:rRNA from 1 species